rnacentral:rRNA from 1 species
ACGGGUGAGUAACGCGUGGGAACAUACCCUUUUCUACGGAAUAGCUCUGGGAAACUGGAAUUAAUACCGUAUACGCCCUACGGGGGAAAGAUUUAUCGGGGAAGGAUUGGCCCGCGUUGGAUUAGCUAGUUGGUGGGGUAAAGGCCUACCAAGGCGACGAUCCAUAGCUGGUCUGAGAGGAUGAUCAGCCACAUUGGGACUGAGACACGGCCCAAACUCCUACGGGAGGCAGCAGUGGGGAAUAUUGGACAAUGGGCGCAAGCCUGAUCCAGCCAUGCCGCGUGAGUGAUGAAGGCCUUAGGGUUGUAAAGCUCUUUCACCGAUGAAGAUAAUGACGGUAGUCGGAGAAGAAGCCCCGGCUAACUUCGCGCCAGCAGCCGCGGUAAUACGAAGGGGGCUAGCGUUGUUCGGAAUUACUGGGCGCAAAGCGCACGUAGGCGGAUAUUUAAGUCAGGGGUGAAAUCCCAGAGCUCAACUCUGGAACUGCCUUUGAUACUGGGUAUCUUGAGUAUGGAAGAGGUAAGUGGAAUUGCGAGU